GCUAGCUAGAGACAAAACCUGGCGGAUCAUGACGGAUACACGGCUCCAUUGCCGAGACGAAAGGGGGCGUGGUCAAAAGGCACAUGGUGACACGCCCACUUCUGUUCGGUCUUCGCGCCCCUUAAAACAAACAGCAUUCCAUUGAAUAACAGCCAAAAAGACACUGUAACAAGAAUGAUUUGAGGAUAAAAUGUAACUGGGUAGCUGAUGGGCAUGACAGCCUUUCAUGGCCUUCAAUUUCCUUUUGGCCGAUGACCAGUAGGAUUCAAUGUUCUGGGUAUGAACUCCCGUAGCUGGAUCAACAAAGUUGAGUGAGUGGUUCACACUUGAGUGGCUACCAACAUUGGGGAGAGAGCCAACCUGGCUAUAGGCACUCCACUGGUCCGAAUAAAUUGUUGUCCCUGCUGCAACAUGGGCAUUGAUUAUUGGGAGGAGUGUGGCUGCCCGUCGGUCUUGAACUAUUUCCAUAUAUCCUAACGAUGGAGUCGUGGAGGUGUCCACCAUCCCAAAUACCCACAUCUCCGUGGUGGUUGCCCUUCCCCGGUGGUGUAGCCUCGAUCCCAGGCCGAGUUUUCGCUUUUAUAACGGUUAGGCGAACAACUGGGCCUGGUACUAGUUGUCUGCGCAUGCGUCAGUCGUUCGUCAGAUUCUGACGAAUGGAUAUUCUCGUUCACUUUGGUGACAUUUAUAUUCGUGUACUAUCGUGUACUAGAAGUCAGUUCCCGUUUUAUCAUUAUUGGAAUCGAUUGGAAUGGCUCUUAGCUGAAGCCUCUCUCUUCUCUGAAGCUUAUUCUGAAGACUGAACAACAAGGGAAGAGGUAUAAAGCUUUGUCAAGCUUGUUAAGGUCAGAUAUUUUUGUGUGGGCCCUAUGGCCGGCUAGGCUAUGCUAUCAAGUCUUGUUCAUGUUUGGCAAGAAUGUAGGUAGACUAUAGUUUCAUCAUUAAUAUGGUGGAUCAAGUGAAGAGUGUGAGCUAGAGAACUUGGUGCUGCCAUCAUCAGCUCGUCGACAAUGACACUAUAACCGAGAAAUUUAAUAUGUAUAGAUCUACACGUAUUUAAAAUGUCUACUUCUCUGUACAGGAGCAAUGGCUAAUAUCCAGCUAUCCCAACAGUGCUCCUCUUGGCUAUACUAACGGACGAGACUGGACAGUUUGAGACACAGGACUGGAGUAUGACCUGCUCAUUCGAGCGUUGCUGGGUAGCUCAGAGACAUCAAGAGAAUCUACGUUUUCUCAAGUAAUGAGUUACGAGUUGGGGCCUAGAAUCAGAGAAGUCCAGCAGCCUGCUAAAUCUUUUUGAAACGUAAUUUGAAGGCAUUCAAUCAUCCUGAAGUUGCCCUGGGUCACUGUAAUUGUGCUGCAGCACAACUGGCAACUCCCCAGGCCUUUGUGAAGCAGCUCCCUAUGUGCAUCUUUUGUGUACUCACUCUGUGCAUUUUCUGUGUACAAAUUUCUAUUAUUGAUUUAUUAAAUAUUUUUGCCGACCACAAAUAUACAAUGAAAAUUUGACGCAUGCGCAGACAACUAGUACCAGGCCCAGUUGUUCGCCUAACCGUUAUAAAAGCGAAAACUCGGCCUGGGAUCGAGGCUACCGGUGGUGCUGAAGAGCAAAGGCUUGUGACGAAACAGUGAUUCAUCUAUCUGGACUACUACACCACUUCCACCGAGAAUGAUGCUGGUAUUUACCAGCUUCAUGCUGCAUACCUCCCGCAACCACUGAAACACAUUAAUGGCCGUUUCCUUGUUCACCUCCACCAUCUGAGCCACUGUACACACCGGAAGUUGGUAGGCCCAGAGGUGAAUCAGGAGGAUCCAAGUCCGAAGGGGAAUCUUUGAUUUCUCAAAGAAACUGCCCGCCCUUACAGUUUUGCUCGUCUUACACACCUUGCACCACCACUUAUACCCAUCCUUCACAUCUCUCCUCAAUCUCUCUUCCAUGUCAUCACCACAACUAUAAUGAUUUGUGUUAAAUAAUGUUUUCUAGAGUUAUACUGUCUUACCGAACACAAUCCAUGUCAUCUGCGAGCAAACCAAGACUUCUUAGAUACACUAAUAUUUGACUUGGUGAGCCAAAAGCUGCUGUACCAACAUUAAUGAGAGACAUACUAAAAUGUUACCAUGAAUUUAUCAGUGCAGUGGUGCGAAAUUUACAUGUGGCCGGGCAAUGCCCGCGAAAUAAAUGGGCGUUUGUAAUCGGCGCGAAAGAUGCGUACAGGAAGUGGGCGUGUCAUCAUGUGCCUUUUGACCACGCCCCCUUUCGUCUCGGCCAUGGAGCCGUGUAUCCGUCAUGAUCCAACCUGGCUCCAUUGCUAAAGUAUUACAGCAUUCUCCGGCUGGAAAGAUGUUUGAGGCUGAGAAUGCUGCCCUGUCAGUAAUGAACCCGACGUAUUCAAGUAAGAAAUGUGGUUACCGUAAGACCUUUAAUUAAAGCGGCACUUUUUAAAACUUAUUGAAGCCAGAGAUCGCUUCUUUUGGAGGUUGAAAAUCAUGUUGAAGACCUGGUGUCCAUUUAGACUCGCUGGCCACUCCCAUCAUCACUAUCUUGAGGAUUGGGACUGGUCAACUGCCAAUCUGCGAGUUGUUCUCAUUACCGAAAUCGGUAAUGACCAAUCACAGUGCAGAAGCAAUGUCAUGUGACAUAUUUCGCCCACGUAAUUCGUUGUAGUUGGGGUGGGUCUUAUGUUGUGUUAGAUAAACCACGGGACAUAACCCACAUUCACUUGAUAGUUACGCAACUUUGGUCAACCGCACAAACCACAAGAUGAUGUCAUGCAACUAAUUAAAAUUCCACAAGAACAACUCGCAGAUUGGCAGUUGACCAGUCCCAAUCCUCAAGAUAGUGAUGAUGGGAGUGGCCAGCGAGUCUAGUGUCCAUUAUUUAGAGGGUCUCAUCUAAUUGGAGGUACAUGUAACUCUAUCUGAUAGCCUCGUGGAAUCAGCUAUACUAUAGUACUCUACGUUGCUAAGCACCACUCUAAAUAAUAUUAUAAGUGCCAAACUGGAAUUAUGGUUUUUUCUUGUUCUAUUUGUGCGCCACUGAAAAUCUUUAACGGCGCUGUAAUUAGAAGAAAGACGGUAUAUUGUGAGACACCAACUGCCCAGAGGGAAACCACGCCAUUCGCAAAAAUAUGCCUAAUUCCCUCUCACAUCUAAAGUUCUUUCAAAAUGGUGGUCGUACUUUUUUGAAGGAUGAUGUUGAAAGUGACAUGUGUUGGAGAGAGCAUUAUACUGGACACCCUUGUAUGACCAGACGACUGUAAAGUAUCGACACAAUUGGAGAUCUUUAAUAUGGGCUGUCAAUGAGAAACAACAGACGCACUCUAUGAGAAGCUGGCCGAGCCCAUUAUAGAAGGGGUCACAGAGGGUACCAAUGAAACAGCCUAAACAGUAUCUAAGCUAACUCCUUGUCCACGCCUACUAAAUCAACAUCCGAUGCUGUACAUGGCACUUGAUCCGAACAUUGAAUGGUGAUCUACAACUUUGGGUGGGGAGUCUUAUCCAAUGCAGUAGACGGAGCAUGUUCCGUGAGUAAUCAUUCCCUAGAAGUGAGUGUCUACUGUAUGUAUGUGAUCUACAACUUUGGGUGGGGAGUCUUAUCCAAUGCAGUAGACAGGGCAUGUUCCGGAAAGCUCAGAAUUCUGGAGAAUUAGACAAACAGCUGUGAUAAGUCAGCGCUACCAAAGCAGCUGUCCAGACGGAGGACCAUGUGUCCGAGUCUUCUCUCACAUGACACUGCGUCCCACCAGCCCUGGUCUGAGGCCCCUCCCCCCACAACCUCCUUUCUCACUUUAGCCCCACUCAAAUCCUCGACCACGUCCGUAUUUUUUGCUCUAAGAUCAUGUGACGAGUCCUAAGUACACCAGGUUUAUGAAGUUCCUGCAUGAUCAGGAGGUGAGAGGGAAUGUUUAGCUGUUGCUUUAUGUAGCUAUUUGUGUACAUGCAUGUGUUUAGUUUCCUGUCAUAAACACUGUUUGUACAUGUACGUGUUCUAUGUAAAAGUACUUAGUGUGAUUCUGGCGCCUUUGUAAAACUUAAUUAUUGUAGUCUUUGAGUAGACUAAUAGUGGCUGUAUUAUAGAGGAUGACCUGCGUGACCACAAUAGACUGCACGGUUUCACUGCAUUACUAGUGUUUAAGCUUCCAUAUACUUCCCCUUUAUUAUGCAGCCCCAUGUUGACUACCUCCCUGGUCAAGUGUUUGAGGGUGGUGGCUGACACCUGUCACGCAUCAGUGCUAGAGACGGCGUUCCCAGGGCAACAGCUGGAUAUCGCCCUACUCUGGCAUUGUCUCGUAGAUCACCAUGCCAACAAAGACAAGAUUCCUCUCGACACGUACGUGGUGCAUGUGUGUGUGUACCUUGGUAUGUUCAGUGUGCAUUUGAGGCAUACUUGUCAGUUAUACAUGUAAGUACAUGUGUGUGCAUAUUUUGAGCUUUGUCUUAAUUUUCACCGUGUACACAAUCAAUGAUAGUGUGGUUGUGUAUAAUUAUGGUGUACAGUGCUUACAGGUCAUGUACACGUAUUUAUAGAGUACUGCACCGUUAACUCCUCCCUCCCCUUGUGCAGUGAUUGGGUGAGUCUGGAGGCUGUCGGGCUCUCACUGGGUAUGGUUUCGAAAGAAUUCCUCUCUAAAACAGUCAACUCCUCUUCACCAAUCUCCUGGAACUGGCCAAAGCUCUCUGCACUAGCCCUGCUAACACACUCGCUUUCUACCAACUCGUAUUUCUCCUGACACUGGAAUUCUUUUAUCAAGGGCUCUCAGAUAUACUGGUCUUUCCUACACCAGCUGCAAGAGCUUGCUGUGAAGGAGAAAGGCCUUGAAGCACAUCACAGAGUGGUGCUACAUGCUACAGUGGCGGGUGUGCUGCAUCUAGCGUCCAAGAUUAGUCGAAAUGAGGUACUCAAGAUGACGCACAUCGAUGGAGUGAUUGCUAAGAGGAGGGAGACAGCUCCUAAGGCUAUGGUUGGACAUUCUUCUAGAGGGGGGGGAAUUUUGGGAAAUCCGAGGGCUCCCACCCAUCUUCAUGAAACCCUGAUUGUAACCACAGCCACUUGAGAUACAAUGUGCUAGCCCCUUGUAAAGGUACUUGAUAAUUCAUUGCAAACAUCCUAAUUUAAGAUUUCACGACAGCCAGGGUUUAUACCUUUAUGUAUAGUGAUGUAAUAAGUAAUAAGAGGUGUGGUCAACAUUUUUCGGUGCACGUACACCUUCCCCCCCCCCAAGUUUUUAUCCUAUGAAACCCUGACAGCAUGUGACGAAGGUUGAACAGGCGGCCUACUACGGUUUUAAGUAUGUGGAGUUGCAUACUCUUCCUAAUGAAGUUGUUGCUAGUACAGUGGUUUUCCUUUGCAAGAGCACUGCAACCACAAUGUAGUGAUUACCUCUGUCUGUGUGUUAUUUUAAUCCACCCACAUGCACCACCCACACAUCACAAAAUCACAGUAAAGUGAUGCAUCUUACAGACUAUCUAUACUGCAGACUUUCACACAACUUAAAGAAUGUACUCUACUUGCACAGCAUUAUCAUUCCUCCUACUCAUUUAUACUUGAUGCUCGAGGUCAACAAGCUGCUUCUGGGAAAAUCAAAUUUUGAGCAACACAAGUUCCUUUCGGAUUUGAUUCACUACAUAUGCAGCGGUAGUUAGACCCGGAUAAAAUGCAUAGAUAGUAAAGAUAGUAAAUACAGGCCCUCAGCUCCCUAUACAUACAAGUUUGAGUUCAUAUCAUUUUGCCACAAUGAAUCAAGCAACAAGUUAGCUGAGCUACGUACCAUCGCAAUCACUUCAGUUAAACAAAGUAUGAGGAGAGUUGACGUACUGUACAGCUGGAAAUUUGGUAAUUAUUUGGCGAAUGCAAUACAAUACUAUAUACAGUGACGUUGUGUCCACCAGAACAUUUUAAUUUGGGAAUUUUUCAGUAAAUCGCCCAAUUAAAACACCCAUCAAAUUUCCUUAUUAUAAGGGGUUUACAUUUUACAGGCAAUUCCAAGUUAUGAUUUAGAUUGCUUUGUUGCCUUGUUAAUACCAGGAGCCCAUAAAUAAGAGAAGGAGCGGCUAACUUCAACGUAUACUCUGGGAUCACGUGUCGUAAUUGCCGGUGGCCUACAUUAUGCACUGCAUCUAUGUACAUUAAAUUAGUACAGGACUAGAUAAUUAUUUGUUGGUAAAAAAUAAUGAAUGAAAUGAAAUUAUGAAUUCUGAUUCGCCCAGGUUCAGGUUCAGACAUGUUGUGUUUGAGAUCACAUCAGGCAGAUAGAGAAGGUGGAGCUGGUCCUCCAGGUGAGGGUGUUUGUACAGGUAGAAUUAAUUUGGUAGGUACGUAAAGUGUUCGAGAAGUUUACUGCCUUGUGUCAGGUAUAGUGUUGGUAUGCUUGUACGGUGUAUGUAAGUACAUGUAUUCAUUUGUCUUACAAAUACAUGCAUUCUUUGUCUUAUACACCAGUUGAAGUGUUUCACUGUCCUCUCUUCUCCCCACACAGGACCUCCUUCAGCUGCAAUACGAGGGCCUGGCAAUCAUGAAGAUGUUUGGGAGGGCCAAAGUGAACGUUAAUCUGCUUAUCUUCCUCAUUAACAAAAUCGACAGAGCGUUAAAUUGGAUUCCCAUUAGCAAAUUGUGUUCAUUGACAGUUUUAUACGUACAGCUCUCUGUGACACACUGUAGGGAGAAUUGAAUUUAAACCAUCAUUAUUACUGUGCUAUAUUGACCAAUUCCAACUGAUUUGUUUUUUAGUUAUGUAAUGUGCUGACAUCCUUCUAGUCUUCUGUGCACUGAAGCAAAUAAUUGUUCUAGAAUAAAA